rnacentral:rRNA from 1 species
CCUACGGGAGGCAGCAGUGGGGAAUAUUGGACAAUGGGGGGAACCCUGAUCCAGCCAUGCCGCGUGUGUGAAGAAGGCCCUCGGGUUGUAAAGCACUUUCAGUGAGGAAGAACGCCUGGUGGUUAAUACCCAUCAGGAAAGACAUCACUCACAGAAGAAGCACCGGCUAACUCCGUGCCAGCAGCCGCGGUAAUACGGAGGGUGCGAGCGUUAAUCGGAAUUACUGGGCGUAGAGCGCGCGUAGGUGGCUUGAUAAGCCGGUUGUGAAAGCCCCGGGCUCAACCUGGGAACGGCAUCCGGAACUGUCAAGCUAGAGUGCAGGAGAGGAAGGUAGAAUUCCCGGUGUAGCGGUGAAAUGCGUUGAGAUCGGGAGGAAUACCAGUGGCGAAGGCGGCCUUCUGGACUGACACUGACACUGAGGUGCGAAAGCGUGGGUAGCAAACAGGAUUAGAUACCCGAGUAGUC